ACAACAUUAGGACCGUCGUCUACCUAGCAAUGUCACCCGCUCGGUGAAAGAGCUUCCCUUUGUCAU
rnacentral:pre_miRNA from 1 species